CAACACUCUCAUAGGGAUCCAUUAUACGAUUUUACUUCUGGGUACUUUGGGUAGUUCCAAACAUCGCUUCGACGAGGGCAGACCACAUUCAUACGAACGGCUGGCUGUAAAGUACAGUAUAUUCGGAGAGGCCCUUUGUGAUGUACACACUCAUCUGUAUUUGUUACAUUUUCAGGAUCCACAUCAUGCUGCUGGUGGUGCCUGCUGAUGGUGACUGCUGGCUAUGGGCAUUAAGCCCGUUUUUAAAUAGCAACAAACAAACAAAAAAGCCUUUUAUUUCAUGUUUUGACGACUGACCAUUGCCAUCCAUUUUUUUUGUGCUGGUCUUGGUCCUUGAGGAAACCAUGCUGCACAACCAGCCAUCACAGGCCACUGAUCUAUAAUCUUUAGUUAAGUUAUGCGAAAAAAUGUGUUAAAUGUCAUUUCUUUGUCAUUUAGGUCAAACUAAGUUUAUUAAA